ACAUGCAAGUCGAGCGCGCCCUUCGGGGUGAGCGGCGGACGGGUGAGUAACGCGUGGGAAUAUGCCCUUCUCUAAGGAAUAGCCUCUGGAAACGGUGAGUAAUACCUUAUACGCCCUUCGGGGGAAAGAUUUAUCGGAUUUGGAUCGGCCCGCGUUAGAUUAGGUAGUUGGUGGGGUAAUGGCCUACCAAGCCUACGAUCUAUAGCUGGUUUUAGAGGAUGAUCAGCAACACUGGGACUGAGACACGGCCCAGACUCCUACGGGAGGCAGCAGUGGGGAAUCUUAGACAAUGGGCGCAAGCCUGAUCUAGCCAUGCCGCGUGAGUGAUGAAGGCCUUAGGGUCGUAAAGCUCUUUCGCCUGUGAUGAUAAUGACAGUAGCAGGUAAAGAAACCCCGGCUAACUCCGUGCCAGCAGCCGCGGUAAUACGGAGGGGGAUAGCGUUGUUCGGAAUUACUGGGCGUAAAGCGCACGUAGGCGGAUUAGAAAGUUAGGGGUGAAAUCCCGGGGCUCAACCUCGGAACUGCCUCUAAAACU
rnacentral:rRNA from 1 species